UUUUCAUCAGACAAUCUGUGUGAGCACUNNNNNNNNNNNNNNNNNNNNUUCUUUAAGGUAAGGAGGUGAUCCAACCGCAGGUUCCCCUACGGUUACCUUGUUACGACUUCACCCCAGUCAUGAAUCACAAAGUGGUAAGCGCCCUCCCGAAGGUUAAGCUACCUACUUCUUUUGCAACCCACUCCCAUGGUGUGACGGGCGGUGUGUACAAGGCCCGGGAACGUAUUCACCGUGGCAUUCUGAUCCACGAUUACUAGCGAUUCCGACUUCAUGGAGUCGAGUUGCAGACUCCAAUCCGGACUACGACGCACUUUAUGAGGUCCGCUUGCUCUCGCGAGGUCGCUUCUCUUUGUAUGCGCCAUUGUAGCACGUGUGUAGCCCUGGUCGUAAGGGCCAUGAUGACUUGACGUCANNNNNNNNNNNNNNNNNNNNUGGUCGUAAGGGCCAUGAUGACUUGACGUCAUCCCCACCUUCCUCCAGUUUAUCACUGGCAGUCUCCUUUGAGUUCCCGGCCGGACCGCUGGCAACAAAGGAUAAGGGUUGCGCUCGUUGCGGGACUUAACCCAACAUUUCACAACACGAGCUGACGACAGCCAUGCAGCACCUGUCUCACGGUUCCCGAAGGCACAUUCUCAUCUCUGAAAACUUCCGUGGAUGUCAAGACCAGGUAAGGUUCUUCGCGUUGCAUCGAAUUAAACCACAUGCUCCACCGCUUGUGCGGGCCCCCGUCAAUUCAUUUGAGUUUUAACCUUGCGGCCGUACUCCCCAGGCGGUCUACUUAACGCGUUAGCUCCGGAAGCCACGCCUCAAGGGCACAACCUCCAAGUAGACAUCGUUUACGGCGUGGACUACCAGGGUAUCUAAUCCUGUUUGCUCCCCACGCUUUCGCACCUGAGCGUCAGUCUUUGUCCAGGGGGCCGCCUUCGCCACCGGUAUUCCUCCAGAUCUCUACGCAUUUCACCGCUACACCUGGAAUUCUACCCCCCUCUACAAGACUCAAGCCUGCCAGUUUCGAAUGCAGUUCCCAGGUUGAGCCCGGGGAUUUCACAUCCGACUUGACAGACCGCCUGCGUGCGCUUUACGCCCAGUAAUUCCGAUUAACGCUUGCACCCUCCGUAUUACCGCGGCUGCUGGCACGGAGUUAGCCGGUGCUUCUUCUGCGGGUAACGUCAAUUGCUGCGGUUAUUAACCACAACACCUUCCUCCCCGCUGAAAGUACUUUACAACCCGAAGGCCUUCUUCAUACACGCGGCAUGGCUGCAUCAGGCUUGCGCCCAUUGUGCAAUAUUCCCCACUGCUGCCUCCCGUAGGAGUCUGGACCGUGUCUCAGUUCCAGUGUGGCUGGUCAUCCUCUCAGACCAGCUAGGGAUCGUCGCCUUGGUGAGCCGUUACCUCACCAACAAGCUAAUCCCAUCUGGGCACAUCUGAUGGCAAGAGGCCCGAAGGUCCCCCUCUUUGGUCUUGCGACGUUAUGCGGUAUUAGCCACCGUUUCCAGUAGUUAUCCCCCUCCAUCAGGCANNNNNNNNNNNNNNNNNNNNCCCGUCCGCCACUCGUCAGCAAAGCAGCAAGCUGCUUCCUGUUACCGUUCGACUUGCAUGUGUUAGGCCUGCCGCCAGCGUUCAAUCUGAGCCAUGAUCAAACUCUUCAAUUUAAAAGUUUGAUGCUCAAUGAAUUAAACUUCGUAAUGAAUUACGUGUUCACUCUUGAGACUUGGUAUUCAUUUUUCGU
rnacentral:rRNA from 1 species